rnacentral:rRNA from 1 species
CCUACGGGAGGCAGCAGUGGGGAAUAUUGGACAAUGGGCGAAAGCCUGAUCCAGCAAUGCCGCGUGAGUGAUGAAGGCCUUAGGGUUGUAAAGCUCUUUUACCAGGGAUGAUAAUGACAGUACCUGGAGAAUAAGCUCCGGCUAACUCCGUGCCAGCAGCCGCGGUAAUACGGAGGGAGCUAGCGUUGUUCGGAAUUACUGGGCGUAAAGCGUACGUAGGCGGUUAUUCAAGUCAGAGGUGAAAGCCUGGAGCUCAACUCCAGAACUGCCUUUGAAACUAGAUAGCUAGAAUCUUGGAGAGGUGAGUGGAAUUCCGAGUGUAGAGGUGAAAUUCGUAGAUAUUCGGAAGAACACCAGUGGCGAAGGCGACUCACUGGACAAGUAUUGACGCUGAGGUACGAAAGCGUGGGGAGCAAACAGGAUUAGAUACCCUGGUAGUCCACGCCGUAAACGAUGAUAACUAGCUGUUCGGGCUCUACGAGCUUGAGUGGCGCAGCUAACGCAUUAAGUUAUCCGCCUGGGGAGUACGGUCGCAAGNUUAAAACNCAAAAUGAAUUGACGGCUGAGAGNGCGAGACGACGACGAGGGAGAGG